rnacentral:sRNA from 1 species
GACCUCUUUGUCGCCAUGCGACAGUAUA